UAAACCGUGGCUCAGUUCAGAUCGUAGGCUGCAACUCGCCUACGUGAAGUAGGAAUCGCUAGUAAUCGCAGGUCAGCAUACUGCGGUGAAUACGUUCCCGGGCCUUGUACACACCGCCCGUCACACCAUGGAAGUUGGCCAUGCCCGAAGUCGUUACUCCAACCCUUGUGGAGGAGGACGCCGAAGGUGGGGCUAAUGACUGGGGUGAAGUCGUAACAAGGUAGCCGUACCGGAAGGUGCGGCUGGAUCACCUCCUAACA
rnacentral:rRNA from 1 species